rnacentral:rRNA from 1 species
AUUGAACGCUGGCGGCAGGCUUAACACAUGCAAGUCGAGCGGGGUGAUGGUGCUUGCACUAUCACUUAGCGGCGGACGGGUGAGUAAUGCUUAGGAAUCUGUCUAUUAGUGGGGGACAACAUCUCGAAAGGGAUGCUAAUACCGCAUACGUCCUACGGGAGAAAGCAGGGGAUCACUUGUGACCUUGCGCUAAUAGAUGAGCCUAAGUCGGAUUAGCUAGUUGGUGGGGUAAAGGCCUACCAAGGCGACGAUCUGUAGCGGGUCUGAGCGGAUGAUCCGCCACACGCGAACUGAGAAACGGCCCGGACUCCUACUGGAGGCAGCAGUCGGGAAUAUUGGACAAUGGGGGGAACCCUGAUCCAGCCAUGCCGCGUGUGUGCAGAAGGCCUUAUGGUUGUAAAGCACUUUAAGCGAGGAGGAGGCUCUUUUGGUUAAUACCCAAGAUGAGUGGACGUUACUCGCAGAAUAAGCACCGGCUAACUCUGUGCCAGCCGCCGCGGUAAUAC